UACGUAGGGUGCAAGCGUUAAUCGGAAUUACUGGGCGUAAAGCGUGCGCAGGCGGUGAUGUAAGACAGGUGUGAAAUCCCCGGGCUUAACCUGGGAACUGCAUUUGUGACUGCAUCGCUGGAGUGCGGCAGAGGGGGAUGGAAUUCCGCGUGUAGCAGUGAAAUGCGUAGAGAUGUGGAGGAAUACCGAUGGCGAAGGCAGCCCCCUGGGCCAAUACUGACGCUCAUGCACGAAAGCGUGGGGAGCAAACAGG
rnacentral:rRNA from 1 species